rnacentral:rRNA from 1 species
AUUGAACGCUGGCGGCAGGCCUAACACAUGCAAGUCGAACGAGUGGCGGACGGGUGAGUAAUGUAUGGGAAACUGCCCGAUGGAGGGGGAUAACUAAUGGAAACGGUUGCUAAUACCGCAUACCAUCGGAUGUGCCCAGGUGGGGUUAGCUAGUGGGUGGGGUAAAGGCUGACCAAGGCGACGAUCCCUAGCUGGUCUGAGAGGAUGACCAGCCACACUGGAACUGAGACACGGUCCAGACUCCUACGGGAGGCAGCAGUGGGGAAUAUUGCACAAUGGGCGCAAGCCUGAUGCAGCCAUGCCGCGUGUAUGAAGAAGGCCUUCGGGUUGUAAAGUACUUUCAGCUGGGAGGCGUUACUCGCAGAAGAAGCACCGGCUAACUCCGUGCCAGCAGCCGCGGUAAUUC